rnacentral:lncRNA from 1 species
UCAGAGAGAGGAAGUAAAUUGCUCAGGUUCACUCAGCUAGGAAGCAACAGAUCAGGAUUCGAGCCCAGUCCAAAAUCAUAAUUCACUCCCUUGAAAAGCCAAAAGAGAGAGAGAACAGGGCCAGACGGGGUGGCGUCAGGAGGGUUGUGGGUCCCCUGGCUGCUGUGCAGAGCUUACAUCGGGCGCUCAAAGGAGCCCGAGCCAACCACUGCCCAAGAGAUUCUACCAAGAUGAAAAUGGUUCCUCCCCAGCCACAGUUCCAUCACCUGCGUGAUGGGACGAGAGACUGGAUCAGGUGUUCUCCACAGCCGGUUAUGAAGUGAUCCCAGGCCUGGGUCUCCUGAUGAGUCCAUCUGACUUCCACUCUCCAGCACCCCCAGGGUUUACUGCUUCCAUCCUGCUGACAGCCAUAUGCUCUUCUCUGGCUGAUUCAAGACAAAAGAAGAUAGGAUGACAAAGCAGAAGACCAGAGAGAAAGAGAUUUGAAGAUGCUACCCUGCUGGCUUUGGAGAUGGAAGCAAGGGCCAUGAGCCAAGAGGUGUAUGUGGCUUUUGGAAGCAGGUCAACGAGAAGAAUGCCUGGGAGUUGGCUGGACCUGCUUUGUGUCUCUGCUUUAUGCUGUACAAGCUGCAUGUCCUUGGGCUAACGUCUUCACCUCUCUGGGCCUUGGUUCUUUCAACCAUGGUUGUGGAGAUGGCAAAACCUGAUCUUAGCCUUUUUUGAGGACUAAGUGAGUUAAUACAUGUAAAAUACUUAAAGCAGUAAGCCCCUUUUUGUUGUUGUUUGUUUGUUUCUUGAGAUGAAAUCUCGCUCUGUCACCCAGGCUGGAGUGCAGUGGUGCGAUCUCGGCUCACUGUAACCUCCGCCUCCCAGGUUCUAGCGAUUCUACUGCCUCAGCCUCCCAAGUAGGCCCUUUUGAAGCACUCAGCAAAUGGUGGCUUUUAUUAUUAUCUGAAACAUUAAUUUCCUUAAGAAAUUAUACUGUGUAGUAUCUCUUGGAAUUAAAUAGGGAGAAAUGUCCCCAAAAUCAUUAAAUAAAUAACACAACUUAGAAAACUGCAGUUUCACCAACCUAAAUUCUCAUGUUUUGCUUUGAAAUGUUGAAUACUGUUUUUUUUGUUUUUUUUUUAAGGCAGAAUUUCACUCUUACUGCCCAGCUUGGAGGGCAACGGCGCCAUCUUGGCUCACUGCAACCUCUGCCUCCCAGGUUCAAGUGAUUCUCCUGCUUCAGCCUCUCGAGUACUUGUGAUUACAGGCAUGCGCCACCACGCCCGGCUAAUUUUGUAUGUUUUUUUAGUACAGACGGGAUUUCACCAUGUUAGUCAGGCUGGUCUCAAACUCCUGACCUCAGGUGAUCCACCCACCUUGGCCUCCCAAAGUACUGGGAUUACAGGUGUGAGCCACUGCUCCCAGACAGAAACAUUAAAGUCUUUACUCACAUAGGCAGAAGAGCUAGGGCAGAGGUGAGAGGUUUGGGGCAAAUAUUUCCUGCUUCUCACCCUGGUGGACAUACCAAGUCAACCUUCGCUCUGAGAACACCUAGACAUGGCCUAGAAAGAUGAGCUGAAAUUUGAAGUUGCCCUCAGGCUUUGAGGUGGGACUCUAAUAACCAUGAUUAAUGCAUUCAGGGAAUAACAUGACAAGAAUGUCAGCAGAAAACUAGGAACUAUAAAAAAGAAUCAUAUGGAAAUUCCAGAACUGAAAAAUAUGAUACUGAAAUUAAGAUUUGCAGUUAUUAAAAUCACAGACUGUGAGCCACACUGCCCAGGUUUAAGUCCAGGCUCCAGUCUCUGCCAUGUACAAUGCCACACCUGUUUCUUUCUUUCUGUUUUUUUUUUUAAUCGAUGUAAAACUCACAUAACACAAUAAAUUAUUUUGAAAUGUACAAUUUGGCCAGGCGCGGUGGCUGUCUCUACUAAAAGUACAAAAAAUACAAAAAGUACAAAAAUUAGCCAGGUGUAGUGGCAGGUGCCUGUAAUCCCAACUACUCAGGAAGCUGGGGCAGGAGAAUCACUUGAACCCGGGAAGCAGAGGUUGCAGUGAGCUGAGAUCGUGACACUGCACUCCAGCCUGGGCGACAAGAGCAAGACUCUGUCUCAAAAAAAAAAAAAAAAAAUAUGGCUGCGUGAGGUGGCUCACGCCUGUAAUCCCAGCACUUUGGGAGGCCAAGGCAGGCGGAUCACAAUGUCAGGAGUUGGAGACCAGCCUGAUCAACACGGUGAAACCCCAUCUCUACUAAAAAUACAAAAAUUAGCCAGGCGUGGUGGCGCACGCCUGUAAUCCCAGCUACUCGGGAAGCUGAGGCAGGAGAAUUGCUUGAACUAAGGAGGCAGAAGUUGCAGUGAGUUGAGAUUGCGCCACUGUACUCCAGCCUAUUUAUUAAAAAAAUAAUAAUAAAAUAAAAUAAACACAUAAUAUGUGACUUUUUUUGUUUGGCUUCUUUCACUUAGCAUGUUUUUCAGGUUCAUCCAUGUUGUAGCAUGUAUCAGUAUUUCAUUCCUUUUUGUGGCUGAAUAAUAUUUCAUUGUAUAGCUAUACCAUGUUUUGUUUAUCCAUUCAUCCAUUGAUGAACAUCUGGGUCGUUUCUGUGUUUUGGCUAGUAUGAAUAAUGUUGCUAUAAACAUUCGUGUACAAGUUUCUGUGUGUGCAUACAUUUUCAUUUCUUGGGUACAUACCUGGGUGUGGAGUAAGUCUUUGUUCCUUUUU